GACGAACGCUGGCGGCGUGCUUAACACAUGCCAGUCGAACGGAAAGGCCCUGCUUUUGUGGGGUGCUCGAGUGGCGAACGGGUGAGUAACACGUGAGUAACCUGCCCUUGACUUUGGGAUAACUUCAGGAAACUGGGGCUAAUACCGGAUAGGAGCUCCUGCUGCAUGGUGGGGGUUGGAAAGUUUCGGCGGUUGGGGAUGGACUCGCGGCUUAUCAGAUUGUUGGUGGGGUAGUGGCUUACCAAGGCUUUGACGGGUAGCCGGCCUGAGAGGGUGACCGGCCACAUUGGGACUGAGAUACGGCCCAGACUCCUACGGGAGGCAGCAGUGGGGAAUAUUGCACAAUGGGCGGAAGCCUGAUGCAGCAACGCCGCGUGCGGGAUGACGGCCUUCGGGUUGUAAACCGCUUUCGCCUGUGACGAAGCGUGAGUGACGGUAAUGGGUAAAGAAGCACCGGCUAACUACGUG
rnacentral:rRNA from 1 species